GAUGAACGCUGACAGAAUGCUUAACACAUGCAAGUCAACUUGAACUUCGGUUUGGGUGGCGGACGGGUGAGUCACGCGUAAAGAACUUGCCUCACAGCUAGGGACAACAUUUGGAAACGAAUGCUAAUACCUGAUAUUAUGAUUUUAGGGCAUCCUAGAAUUAUGAAAGCUAUAUGCGCUGUGAGAGAGCUUUGCGUCCCAUUAGCUAGUUGGAGAGGUAACGGCUCACCAAGGCGAUGAUGGGUAGCCGGCCUGAGAGGGUGAACGGCCACAAGGGGACUGAGACACGGCCCUUACUCCUACGGGAGGAAGCAGUGGGGAAUAUUGGACAAUGGACCAAGAGUCUGAUCCAGCAAUUCUGUGUGCACGAUGAAGUUUUUCGGAAUGUAAAGUGCUUUCAGUUGGGAAGAAAAAAAUGACGGUACCAACAGAAGAAGUGACGGCUAAAUACGUG
rnacentral:rRNA from 1 species